AUUGAACGCUAGCGGGAUGCUUUACACAUGCAAGUCGAACGAGUGGCGGACGGGUGAGUAAUAUAUCGGAACGUGCCCAGUAGCGGGGGAUAACUACUCGAAAGAGUGGCUAAUCCCGCAUACUAUUGGAGCGGCCGAUAUCGGAUUAGCUAGUUGGUGGGGAAAAGGCUCACCAAGGCAACGAUCCGUAGCUGGUUUGAGAGGACGACCAGCCACACUGGGGAUGAGACAAGGCCCAGACUCCUACGGGUGGCAACAGUGGGGAAUUUUGGAAAAUGGGGGAAACCCUGAGCAAGCAAGCCCGCGUGUAUAGGAAGGCCUUCGGGUUGUAAAGUACUUUUGGCAGGGAAGCGGUAUCUGCAGAAUAAGCCCCGGCUAACUACGUGCCAGCAGCCGCGGUAAUUC
rnacentral:rRNA from 1 species